rnacentral:rRNA from 1 species
ACACGACUACAUUAGAUACCCGUGUAGUCCCAGCCCUAAACGAUGCGCGUUAGGUGUAUCGGUGACCACGAGUCACCGAGGUGCCGAAGGGAAACCGUGAAACGUGCCGCCUGGGAAGUACGGUCGCAAGGCUGAAACUUAAAGGAAUUGGCGGGGGAGCACUACAACGGGUGGAGCCUGCGGUUUAAUUGGACUCAACGCCGGAAAUCUUACCGGGACCGACAGCAACAUGAAGGCCAGGCUGAAGACUUUGCCGGAUUAGCUG